rnacentral:rRNA from 1 species
CGGUAAUACGUAGGGGGCAAGCGUUAUCCGGAUUUAUUGGGCGUAAAGCGCGCGUAGGCGGCUUGUUAAGCGAGAUGUGAAAACCGGGGGCUUAACCCGCGGCCUGCAUCUCGAACUGGCAGGCUUGAGUCUGGUAGAGGAAAGUGGAAUUCCCAGUGUAGCGGUGAAAUGCGCAGAUAUUGGGAGGAACACCAGUGGCGAAGGCGGCUUUCUGGGCCACGACUGACGCUGAGGCGCGAAAGCUAGGGGAGCGAACAGGAUUAGAUACCCUGGUAGUCCUAGCCGUAAACGAUGGGCACUAGGUGUGGGGGGUCACCAACUCCCUCCGUGCCGCAGCUAACGCAUUAAGUGCCCCGCCUGGGGAGUACGGCCGCAAGGCUAAA